rnacentral:rRNA from 1 species
CCGCCGGCGACCGGCGCACGGGUGAGUAACACGUAUGCAACCUGGCCGUGACAGAUGGAUAACCGGGAGAAAUCCCGCCUAAUACAACAUAAUGCCGGGAGGGGACAUCCCCUGCCGGCCAAAGGGGGCGACCCCGGUCACGGAUGGGCAUGCGGCGCAUUAGGUAGUUGGUGGGGCAACGGCCCACCAAGCCGACGAUGCGUGGGGUUCUGAGAGGAAGGUCCCCCACAUUGGAACUGAGACACGGUCCAAACUCCUACGGGAGGCAGCAG